rnacentral:rRNA from 1 species
UACGAAGGGGGCUAGCGUUGUUCGGAAUUACUGGGCGUAAAGCGCACGUAGGCGGACAUUUAAGUCAGGGGUGAAAUCCCGGGGCUCAACCCCGGAACUGCCUUUGAUACUGGGUGUCUUGAGUGUGGUAGAGGUGAGUGGAAUUGCGAGUGUAGAGGUGAAAUUCGUAGAUAUUCGCAGGAACACCAGUGGCGAAGGCGGCUCACUGGCCCGAUACUGACGCUGAGGCACGAAAGCGUGGGGAGCAAACAGG